rnacentral:tRNA from 1 species
CCGAGAAUAGCUCAGCGGUAGAGCGGGAGACUGUAGUUUACGCUGCAACGCAGUUAAAAUCGUUAUCUCUAGGUCCCUGGUUCAAAUCCGGGUUCUCGGA